rnacentral:lncRNA from 15 species
GUUUAGUUGGCAUCUUGGACCGGCAUCCUUUGAUUAGAAAUAGUUUAAUAACACUGUCAUAUCUCAGUGAAACUAUGAAUGGAGUCGUAGGACAAGAGACUCUGUGGCUUUGGAAUCCUGUGGCUUUCUAACAGGCAGCAGAACGGGUGUCAGUCUAUGAUUGUGUGAGGUCGUAGCCAAUCAGCAGCAGUGUCAGGACCAGAGGACAGUGUACCAGCAGUCAGACCAUGGACCUUAGAUUCACACGGCUGUCACCUCUCACCAGGGGAGCUCUUCAUCUCCUGCUGCUGGCCAGACUGGUGCUGCCUUCUCACACAGAGAAAAAACACCAAGCUGCAGUGUUUCACUACCUAGGAAUAGGAAUCAGGAACUGGUUCCACUUGAAUACUGAUUCCAAAUGAUCCAGUCCAUCGGAAUCCUAGGCUCCAAGCUUAUCAGUUCCUUUAUUAUUGCCCGGAUGUUUGACGGUUGAUGUCAAACACGUGUGUCGUGUGUUGAGUAAGAACCUAAAGUUAAACGAAUGCUGUACAAAUAUUGUCUCAUUUCAUCCAUUUUAGAUUACAUUUAGAUGAACAGCUAGCGCUGCUUUUUUCUGCUCUGUUUCUACACUGUGUUGAUAUUCAGAGAGGAUAAAGCAGUUAUUUUGAUUAAGAGUCAAUAAGGUAAUCUAUAGAGUAUUGGCUCAAUAACCAGAAUUGACAAUGGCAUUGGUAUCAAUAAAAUCUUAGCAAUCUGAACAUCUGAAUGGGUCCACGCGCAUCAACCAACCCUCCUUCUGACCAGGAGGCUGCCUGCUUUGGUGAACUGGUGUUGCUACCAGGAAUGGAAAUUAAUUCAGUGAUAGCAGUGUUUAACUGAAACUGAAGAUAAAUAUGGAUAACUCCUCUUCUUGUACUGAGGAAAAGAAUGAAAUUAAUUAAAAUUUAGUUUUUCAGCUCUCACACAUUCACAUGUUCGCACUCUUGCAAGCCAACAUUUGUUACAGGAUGAACUGAGCUUAAAUAGAUUUCUUUCGUAAGAACUUGCUUGCACAUAAUAAGGUUAAUAGAGAUGAAAUGUAUUCUUUAAAACAUUUGUGGGGCUUAUAAAAAAAGAUGAAAAGAUGGAGGAAAAAAAAAUCUAUAAGAAGCCCCUAGCAGUAUAGCCUGCAGCCAGUAAUGUGAAUAGAAGAAACACUAAAAAACAACAUGCAGCUGCCAUUAUGACUCAGAAAGCAGGGUCAUGGCUGGGUUUGGAGACUAAAGAAUGAUCUGCAUGUAUUGACCAGACCCUGGCUAAUGCAGUUAGUUAUUUGGUUCUCCCAUGAGAACCC